rnacentral:rRNA from 1 species
GACGAACGCUGGCGGCGUGCUUAACACAUGCAAGUCGAACGGAAAGGCCCUGCUUUUGUGGGGUGCUCGAGUGGCGAACGGGUGAGUAACACGUGAGUAACCUGCCCUUGACUUUGUGAUAACUUCAGGAAACUUGGGCUAAUACCGGAUAGGAUCUCCUGCUGCAUGGUGGGGGUUGGAAAGUUUCGGCGGUUGGGGAUGGACUCGCGGCUUAUCAGCUUGUUGGUGGGGUAGUGGCUUACCAAGGCUUUGACGGGUAGCCGGCCUGAGAGGGUGACCGGCCACAUUGGGACUGAGAUACGGCCCAGACUCCUACGGGAGGCAGCAGUGGGGAAUAUUGCACAAUGGGCGGAAGCCUGAUGCAGCAACGCCGCGUGCGGGAUGACGGCCUUCGGGUUGUAAACCGCUUUCGCCUGUGACGAAGAGUGAGUGACGGUAAUGGGUAAAGAAGCACCGGCUAACUACGUG